rnacentral:rRNA from 1 species
UACGUAGGUGGCAAGCGUUGUCCGGAUUUACUGGGCGUAAAGGGCGUGCAGGCGGUUUGUUAAGUGCAGAGUGAAAGCUCCCGGCUCAACUGGGAGAGGUCUUUGCAUACUGGCAAACUCGAGGGAGGCAGAGGAAAGUGGAAUUCCCGGUGUAGUGGUGAUAUGCGUAGAUAUCGGGAGGAACACCUGUGGCGAAGGCGGCUUUCUGGGCCUUGCCUGACGCUGAGACGCGAAAGCGUGGGGAGCGAACCGG